UACAGAGGUGGCAAGCGUUGUUCGGAAUUACUGGGCGUAAAGAGCGUGUAGGCGGCCACUUAAGUCCUGCGUGAAAUCUUGCGGCUCAACCGCAAGCGGUCGUGGGAAACUGGGUGGCUAGAGUGCGGGAGAGGAGAGUGGAAUUCCUGGUGUAGCGGUGGAAUGCGCAGAUAUCAGGAAGAACACCCGUGGCGAAGGCGGCUCUCUGGAACGCAACUGACGCUGAGACGCGAAAGCGUGGGGAGCAAACAGG
rnacentral:rRNA from 1 species